rnacentral:lncRNA from 1 species
AUGCUAUUCUCGUGCUAGUGAGUAAGUCUCAUGAGAGCUAAUGGGUUUAUCACGGGUUUCUGCCUUUGCUUCUUCCUCAUUUUCUCGUUUCUGCCAUGUAAGAAGUGUCUUUCACCUCUCGCCAUGAUUCUGAGGCCUCCUCAUCCAUGUGGAUCUAACCUGCACUGGAAAGAUACUAAAGCAAGCUCUUCAAGGAAAGUAAAAAUAGUCAACGGGAGUACAAGAGAAAUACAGGAAUAAACCUUGGCGUAUUUUCCCGAGCAUUAAUGGGUUGACAGUGAAGAUGAAUCACCUGUCUCUAACAUUCUACUAUCAAAACCUGAGAUCAGAAGUUCCAUGUAAAAAUAUAUCAGCUGGCCGCGGUGGCUCACGCCUAUAAUCCCAGCACUUUGGGAAGCUGAGGCAGGCAGAUCACUUGAGGUCAGGAGUUCAAGACCAGCCAGACAUUAUCCUUACACAUAGGUGAAAAAGUAAGGUAAAAAAUUAGUAAGAAAAUUGUCACUGGUUUAUACAAAGUUAGUAUUGGUGAGAUAAGACUUAAGACCUCCCUAUUUUCCCUUAUUUCACUGAUAAUGGAAUAGCUGAUUGCUACCUAUAACCAAAUUGUGUCCUUGUUAUAUCAGUAAGUGUAAUAUUUUGUGUGUAUUUUUCAUAUAAAUAUGUUCAUCUUCUUAAUUCAUUUCACACAGGUAUUACACUAGACUAUAAACACAAUAUUAGAGAGUCAUUUGAAAGUUUGCAUAGAAGAAUCAAGAUCAAAAUGCAGAAGUACUGAUUCCUUGCAAAGAAAUCAUUUUGUCCUCUCCCAAAAUAGGAGAAUGUAAAGUAAAAUAGAAAUAAGCUGAAAGAGUUAAUUAUUACUUGGAUUAAGUGCCUGAGAUACUCCAAAUUAUCUCAUAUGUUGUGAUAAUAUAUCUCUACACCUAUAACUUAUCUCCACCCUCUGAUUCCAUAGUUAUGCCUGAAUUGCUCCAAAGAACAUUACAGUUUAUGUCAGUACCAGAAGACUUCCAAAUGUAAUUUGGCAAAAGAAGAUAGAACAUUUUCAUUCAGGAAAUUGUUCUUCUUAAUUGCUGUCUCAUUUUAUGUGUAAUAUCUUCUUCUGAAGAAAUAAUAGGCAUUCCUUUAUAGGAACAUGCAAACCAUCAAGGCUUAUGAAGUCCCAAGUUUUUGAAUUUCCUGAAGAUGAUAAAGUAAAAGUUAUUUCUUGUUACAUGUAGUUUUGAAUAUAUUUAUAUUACAAAUCUGUUUCAAGGCUUUAAAAAAAUAUUUUAGCACUAAAUUAAAAUGUGUUAAGUAGAGAAUGGAUUUUAUCCUUAUUAAAUGGGGACUGUACCAUUUCGAGAUAAGAGACCAGAGAUGUUGAUAUUUUAACUACUGGGAACUUAUUACAGUAACUAGUAGCAUGGAAGGUAAGUAUCUAACUAAUAAAACAGAGCGUAGUGGAAACAUAUGAACUCUGAGUUUGACUGGUUUUUGUUUGUUUGUUUGUUUUGUUUUGUUUCGUUUUUGAGACCGAGUUCAGUGGCGCGAUCUUGGCUUACUGUAACCUCUGCCUCCCAGGUUCAAGCGAUUCUCCUGCCUCAGCCUCCAGAGUAGCUGGGAUUAACCUGCCUCAGCCUCCCAAAGUGCUGAAAUUACAGGCAUGAGCCACCACGCCUGGCUGAGUUUUGACACUUCAGCACUAAAACAGAAGUUGUACAAAUAUAAAUGAAUCUUGCCAAGGAUGGAGAGAAUUGCAACAAGCAAACAUACAGAAAACUAAGUUAUUUUUCUGUUGGGAGCAAGCCCCCCAAAAUCCGGCCAUAAACUGGCCCCAAGACUGGCCAUAAACAAAAUCUCUGCAGCACUGUAACAUGUUCAUAAUGGCCCUAACGCCCAAGCUGGUAAGUUGUGGGUUUACGGGAAUGAGGGCAAGGAACACCUGGCCCGUCCAUGGCGGAAAACCACUUAAACGCAUUCUUAAGCCAUAAACAAUGGCAUGAAUGAUCUGUGUCUUAAGUGCAUGUUCCUGCUGCAGUUAACCAGCCUAACCUAUUCCUUUAAUUCAGCCCAUCCCUUCAUUUCCCUUAAGGGAUACUUUUAGUUAAUUUAAUAUCUAUAGACACAAUUAUAACGACUGGUUUGCUGUUAACAAACAUGUGGGUAAAUCUCUGUUUGUGGCUCUCAGCUCUGAAGGCUGUGAGACCCCUGAUUUCCCACUUCACACCUCUAUAUUUCUGUGUGUGUCUUUAAUUCCUCUAGCGCUGCUGGAUUAGGGUCUCCCCAACCAAGCUGGUCUGAGCAUUUUUCACCCGACCGAGCUGGUCUCAGCAUUUUUCACAUUUAUUUGGUAUGUCGCUUUAUUUUCUUUCAUUUCCUUGCCAGUCACUGCUAACUUUGAUCUCAACGUACUUGAUUCAGAUUUUACACUUUCAUAUUGCUCAAAUUUGGUGACUCUAUUAUUCCUCUAGCAGUUUCCCCAGAUCAGCACAUAGACACAACCCUUACCAUUCACCAUCACCACAUACAUCACACAUGUUAUCAGGCUGGAGUAUUAUCUUCCAUUUUGCUAUUUGCAUAUUAUGACACAAACCAGACACUACCUCAAUUAUUGGGUCAUGAAUUUUUUUCCAAUAUAAGAAGCACAUUAAAAGAAAACAUAAAAACUCCUUCAAAUGAAUAAUUGACAAAACUCUACACUCUUAACCUGUCAGGAGAUAAAAAGCCGAGAUAUCGCUUUGAAAGGCACUCUGGAAGUUCUAUCCCUAAGGUGACUGAGAUUUUUAUCACAAGUAAAAAAAUAUGAACUCAUAUACGCCAGAAUUUUUCAGAUGAAAUAUAAAUAUUUCAAGAAUUAACUUAUAUCGGUUAACUAGAGUUAACAAAGUUUAUAAGGCAAAGAUGAAAAUCAUUACUUUUAAUCUGAGCGUGGCCCCAUAGCAAGCAGAAUCAAAGUUGUAAUGGUAAGGAAUAAGGAAUAAGGAAUUUUUAAUAGUUUUGUCUAUUCUGAAAGUAUAGGUAGUCUAUGGAAUCAAUAGCUUGGAGGCUGACACCAUUGAGCAAUUAUGAACAUCACGACUCUCUACUCUUCAUCCUCUGACACACACCACUCCAUGGGAAAUUAGAGUGGCACUUCAUUACUGCCAGGUUGGUGAGGUAACCUAAGUUUUCCCUCUUGUUUCCACUGGCAUUGCAACGGGGAAAUGCUUGUAAGCAACCAGUGAAGAUGAAAACUCUGGAUCUCUUUUUGGCCUCCUCUGACAUCAGAGUUGGGUGCCUUGGUAUAGCCUGGUAAGGGCGGAAGUCCAGGCUCACCACCUGGCUUUUGCCAGCACGAAUGGAGGUAGUCUCACAGUUUCUGCUGUGGAGUUUUGCUAGAGUAGACCUGUUAUUGUCCAGAAGAUUUUCUGUCUUGCUAGACUGCUCCUUCUCUAGAUAGAGUGGAUUUUGUUGAGACUUUAUUUUGCCUGUGCCUAUUGGUAUUUUUAUGUUGCUGACUUCUUCUGUUCCAAGACUGGGUUAUAUGAGAACAAAAGGAAACCCAGGGAUCUUACCUUCCUGUCCUUCUUCAGGCUGCAAGGUCCCUGGCUGGUCUGCCUGCUUUUCUUCAUCUCUCAAAGUCCUCUUAAACUUGUUUCAUAUGUAAUUUGCAGGGGUUUUAAUUGUUCCUAGUGGGAAGAAUAGUGAAAAGUACAUACUUCAACUUCUCAGAAGUUGAAAUUCCCUGCAGUCGUUUUAACUUUCUUAGAACUAAAAAGUGCUUAUUUGUGUAUCAGCCAAAUGGAAAAUAUAUUAUUUCCUCCCUGAAGUUAUUAUUUCUACUAUCCUUGUUCUACUAGCACAGAAAAAAUUUAUAUUAAAAAAUAAAAACUCUAUGUUAUAUUGACAUAAUUUCUCUAUGUAUCUACUUGGAUUAAUUAGUAUUAUAGAAACAUAUGUGGUAACAAAAGUCUAGCUUUUUUUUUUUUUUCCAUUCACUGGCUUAAUACUUACUUACUUUAAGUUUUCACUACUUAUUCCCAGGGAUAUUCAAAGGGGAAGUUUUAUAAAUGUUAAUAGGAUUAAGACCUUCUGAUGCAUUGCUCUUAUAAUACAUUUUAAAACAGAAGAAACUGCAUCAUUUUUCUCCUACAUAGAUCAACAACUAUAUUCUUGGUGUUGGAUUAGUUAAUUACUAUCAAAGUAAUUACUUUCAAUGGCAAAAACAUCAAUUACGUUUGCACCAACCUAUAGUUACACUGCGAAAAGUGACUAUGGUAUAUCAUGAUGGGGUAUUCUAGAGUUCAGGAAAUCUGUUUCCUCAUCUGGAGUCUCAUUGCAUAUGGUUGUUUAAUAUUAUAUGUAAAUAUUCAUAAAAAUGUGCAUUUAUGUUUUUGCACCACUUUUUUGUAAAGGUUAGACUUCAUUAAAGGAAUUACCAGAUUAUAAUGAAGGUGUAUCCCUGGGGAGCAGAUGUGUGAUGGGCUUAAAUGACAACCAGCUAAAAGAGAAUGAGAUAAAAAAAUGUGAAUUGUUUUCAAGUGAAAAAAGCUAAGAAAUGGUUAACUAAAGUUUAUAAAACCUAAUGUCAUGUAAGAAAUGCACUGUAGUCUUAUGUUUCUGUACAGCUCAGCUUUGCUAUUUAUAUAACCAUCAUAAUAUAAAUGCAGAACAUUGCUUGAAUAAAAUGAUAACACUAAAAUGGGAAUAUUAGAAGAGAAGUUCAGUGUGAACGUAGUUACAAAAGGCAAGAAAUUCCCAUUUUUUAAAAUAAGAAUGUAAUACAUAAUUUCUAAAACUGAAAAAUAAAAAAAUAGGUAUAUGCUGUGGAGGAAAGUUCUCAAAAAGAAUUAAGUGUAUUAAAAAUGAACUGAGAGAGACUAUAAUACCACGAAAGUGCAUAAUAGUGAAG